AUGUGUGGAAGCACCGGAGAAUGUUCUUUUGCUGAUAUUACUACCACUAUUAGAUACUGGAUUAUUCAUACCAUUAGUAUACCUUCCCUUUUCAUUGCGGGUACGUUGUGUCGGACUGGAGCGCACCACCACCAUACUAGAGUAGCGUGUGGUGGCUAUAAAUUCUAA
rnacentral:rRNA from 1 species